AUUAAUUUCAUCUCUGGGUCUCUUUUGAUCUACGGCACUCACUAUUUGCUCGUUUAGAUUCACAUUCGCAUCAACAUGUAAGUGAUAAAGACUGUCAAUUAAAAGAUCUCGUGCAACCAAUUUAUUUCGUAAAUAAAUGGAACAAAAGUUUUUAUUGAAACUAAUUUCAAAAUCUUCCUGUGCUAGCACAGACACGGAAAUUAAAUUCCGACUAGCUACAGGAACAUAAUAACAGUCUUUCAAAUUUAAUCUAACGCU
rnacentral:lncRNA from 1 species